UGCAGCUGUCUUCCCAUCUACAGCAGCCCCAGGACUAUAAAAAUGUGCCCUGGAGGUACUACUGGAGCUCCCAUGCCCUGGGGCACUGCAGUGGGGGGCUUUGCCCACCACUGACCUUGCUCUGAAGGGACCCCAGCUGCCUCAUUUCCAGCAGUGAAUUCCAGAGUGAAUCUGGUCCAGCUGGGGUGAGUUAACCCCCAUGUCUGUGCUACCUCCAGCCAAGGGAGCCUCAGCGGAUGGGGUCUGCAGGUGUCUUCUGCAGCAGUUCUCUUCCCCUGAUGUGGUGGCCCAGAGGUGGGACAGCCCCAGCUGGAGGUUAGCAGUUGCCACCAACUCAGUGGUGGACACUGCUGGGGUAGUAAGGGCUGGGCAAGAGCUUUCUCUAUAGAGAAAGAAAAAUUGGCAGAGGAAGCUGGCAACAGACACAACAGUGCCUUCAAGCCCUUAGUGUCUCCUGGCACAGGAGCCAGGAGAAAUGUCCUUACCCUGGGCAACACCUGGGGAAAAGGGCUGCCCAUGCGCGGUGCUUUCUCUGACUGCCACUGCUCAGUACUGUGUGUGCAGGCUCUGUGUGUAUUUCUGUGUGGUGGGACAAGACUGCCCACGCUGACUCUCCCUGAGGGUUUCUCCUGUGGGACAUUCACCAUUGUACAUGUAUAUCCACAACCCCGUUCUCAGUGUGCCCUCUGUAGCUGUCCCAGACCUCUUUGUGGAUCUGUCCGGGUUGCAACAAGCUUUCCAACUAAAACAAGUAGAAAAAUUUUUGGAGACAAUAGUCAAGAAGAGAGGAAACAUCUAUUUAGAAUGGUGAGCCCAGUGGAAAGCUUUGCAGGGCUUUUCUCUGUGACCAGCACAUUCUUUAAAGCAGCUGAAGCUGCCCGUCCCGAGGGACGCAGGCUCUGGCUGGAUCACUGGGGCUGUGCACACCGUCUGGUCACAGCCAGUCUGCCCAGAGCUGGGCUUCUGGAGUGCACAAGCAUUUGUAGUAUCCAAACUUGCCUAUUGUAUGGACAUUUCCAUAUGAAUUGGAUGGAAGUUCAGCUUCUGCUUUGAAGUGCAGCCAUACAACAGCACUCUGUUCUUACAUGUUUAUCACAAGCCUGUUGCAAACUUGGGACGUUAUCUUGGUUUCACAAAAAUGCAAACAGCAGCAAGUCAAGAAAUCUCUAACAAAACUGAGUUCUCCCAAGUUUAACUUGAAAUCUAAGUGCUGGAGUAGGCUGUUUCUUGAAUUGUCUAACAAGUGAAGAAAGAUUUUUUUUUUUUUGGAGAUGGGCAAAUACAGAAGUUCAUUUUAAGGUAAAUCAUCCUUUGGAGUAUAACUUGAAUCUGUUUUGAAGGUAUUCUCUGGGACUACAGAGCCGUGCAGGGGAUGCUGUGAGGAGAGAGGGAAGGUGGCAAAGCAAAAUGUCCCUGGAGGUGCCUGUGCCAGUCACCAAGCGCCAAGGUUCCCAGAUCCCUCCUGAGAAAGUCUGUGUAAAGUCAUUGUAAAGGAAAAUGGUUCUGCUGGUCUUGUUCUUCCUUGCCAAUGCAGAAUACUUGCUGCUGGAGAGCUUCACAGAAUGGCCGAGGUGGGAAGGGACCUCUGAAGAUCAUCUAGUCCAACCCCUGCCGAGCAGGAUCCCCUAGAGCACCUUGCACAGGACGGCAGCCAGGCGGGGUUUGAAUAUCUCCAGAGAUGGAGGCUUCUCUGGGCAUCCUGUUCCAGUGCUCUGUCACUCCCACUGUAAAGAAAUGCCUUCUCAUAUUUAGGUGGAACUUGUGGAGACAACAAAGAAACCAUUCCCAGCAUCAGGAUUUUCAGAUUGGUUUCUCCAGAGCACAGUGACUGUGUGAGAAGCUGCAGUGGUUUCAUCCCUGAGGUGCUCCUGAGGACUCAUCCCAGCAACCCUUCUUCUGAAGAUAAGAUCCUAUUUCCGUGCAGAAGAGAUCCCGACUACCACAUCAGAUUUUACCACCAGUACUAUUAUGACUGUAAGCAACACUACACGUGCCCAGAAUCCUUUUGUGAGCUGCUUCUGCUUGAUCUCUGGGCAUGGGAAGAUCUGCUCUCUGGUCUUCAGUGGCAGUCAUGCUGCCGACUCCCAGGGUGCAGAGAUACCACGUCAUGUUGCUAUUCAGAGCCUUGGAUUGCACUUUUUUCAUUGCCUGUUACAGCAGAGUAAAAGCACUUGUAGUUCUCCCUGCACGCACAUCUAAAACCUGCGAGAAAGGGUAAAUGCCCUUACACAGUUUUGAUUCCAAGCACUCGAUGUCUGACUUUAAUCUCACACUUUAUCUUCAUGGAUCUUGCCCUAAAAAAGAAAUUUCAGCUCUAACAAAUCCACUACCAGGGGAAAAAAAAAAAA